rnacentral:tRNA from 1 species
UGUACGAUCAGCUAAUAAAGCUCCUGAGCCUAUUCCUCAGCAAUAGGGGUUAAAGUCCCCUUCGUGCUA